GUCGAAAGCAGCCGUUGGGAGCCCAGGAGGCGGGGCGCCUGUGGGAGCCGUGGAGGGAACUUUCCCAGUCCCCGAGGCGGAUCCGGUGUUGCAUCCUUGGAGCGAGCUGAGAGCUCGAGUACAGAACCUGCUAAGGCCAUCAAACCUAUUGAUCGGAAGUCAGUCCAUCAGAUUUGCUCUGGGCCGGUGGUACCGAGUCUAAGCACUGCGGUGAAGGAGUUAGUAGAAAACAGUCUGGAUGCUGGUGCCACUAAUAUUGAGAUAGAGUUUCUCCAUGUUGGUCAGGCUGGUCUCGAACUACUGACCUCAGGUGAUCCGCUCGCUUUGGUCUCCCAAAGUGCUGGGAUUACAGGCAUGAACCACCGCGCCUGGCCCCCGUUCUCCUUACUGGAUCUAAAGCUUAAGGACUAUGGAGUGGAUCUCAUUGAAGUUUCAGGCAAUGGAUGUGGGGUAGAAGAAGAAAACUUCGAAGGCUUAACUCUGAAACAUCACACAUCUAAGAUUCAAGAGUUUGCCGACCUACCUCAGGUUGAAACUUUUGGCUUUCGGGGGGAAGCUCUGAGCUCACUUUGUGCACUGAGUGAUGUCACCAUUUCUACCUGCCAUGUAUCGGCGAAGGUUGGGACUCGACUGGUGUUUGAUCACUAUGGGAAAAUCAUCCAGAAAACCCCCUACCCCCACCCCAGAGGGAUGACAGUCAGUGUGAAGCAGUUAUUUUCUACGCUACCUGUGCACCAUAAAGAAUUUCAAAGGAAUAUUAAGAAGAAACGUGCCUGCUUCCCCUUCGCCUUCUGCCGUGAUUGUCAGUUUCCUGAGGCCUCCCCAGCCAUGCUUCCUGUACAGCCUGCAGAACUGACUCCUAGAAGUACCCCACCCCACCCCUGCUCCUUGGAGGACAACGUGAUCACUGUAUUCAGCUCUGUCAAGAAUGGUCCAGGUUCUUCUAGAUGAUCUGCACAAAUGGCUCCUCUCCUCCUUCCUGAUGUCUGCCAUUAGCACUGGAAUAAAGUUCCUGCUGAAAAUCCACA
rnacentral:lncRNA from 1 species